rnacentral:lncRNA from 1 species
UGAAAACAAACCGGCACACCAGGUUGAGACGCCAUCAGCAUGCUGAAAUUCUGAAAACAUGCGUGAUCGUGAGUUUCCAGUGUUUUUAUGAUCCAUGAUUACAUUUCAAUCGUAUUACAGAAUCAACAUGCAGACAAAAUCAUCAGUUGCAAGGUUAUAUUACACACAUCUGAUCGUUUAUUAUUUUAGAAAGUAUCUUGCUAUAUCAACAUUUGCUAUUUACAGUGAUGUUAUAUAUGUUCUUCUAAUUUGUAAGCAGCGCUUCGAAUGGCAAGAAAGGCGAUGAAACUAGUAAUAAACUCUGAACAGUAUAAAGCUAAACUAUAAACAGCAUAUAUUUGGCGUGAUAUAUAUUCUAUUUACGUCUAGUCGAGUGUGAGAAAUUUGAAAGUUGGUAUGCAUAGGAAGUAUUAAUGAAAAUCGCAUGUGUGUUUGGCGAAAUAUUUAUAUAAUUAUAAUUAACUACUUGGCUACUGAAAAAAUGUAAUUCGCUACAGAGUUCGCUACAGCUACAACUAUAUACGGUUUUGUAGAAGCAUGGAUAAUAAAAUAAAUGGAUAGAACUCUAGCUGACGUAAGCAAAAACAACCUAGUUGCAAUCUGUGACGUCACGCGUAUUGCAAAGUUCUCGGCAUUUUUGUUGUUUCGCUAUACUUUCCGCUUUAAAAGAGUAAUAUUGAAGCAUAUACUGGUCUAAUUGUUUUAAAAACAUGCCUAAGCCACGACAAAGUAUUCAAGGUAAAUGUUUUUCAUCUUUGUUUUGUAUUUUUUACAUUUGUAGCUACGAAAUUGGCGUCCCCAAUUUUAACGAAAUCUGGGAUGACUUUUUCACUGUUUAGUGUUGAAAUAUUUGCCAAAAAUUGACUGGGAAUACUUAGAGAUUUCAUCGUAGAAUGGCGUGGUUAUAUUCAUUUGCUCUUUGACUAAAAUGUUUAGCUGUAAUUGCUAAACAUGCCGUUUUUGAGAAUUUGGUUUGCAACUAUGUUUGAACAUCCAAUCACGCCAUCGAUCAGCCCAUUGAAAACAUUAGGUACGUCACAUCAGCUAGUUUCCUAUCCAUUUAUUUUAUUACCAUGGUAGAAGUAAUCAAAAACUUACUCGCUGUACUUGAAAAUUGUUAUUCGCUAUAUACAGUAGGAAAUUCGCUACAGUAGGGAAUUCGCUAUACUUGGUCAUUUAUCUGGCCUGAAAGCAAAUAUAUCACUUGAACGAAGGAACCGCAUUCAAUCUUGUUGCAAUUUAACAAAAACCUUUUCAUCUCUUGCUGAGGUAUAGUAGACAUGUUCAAAAAAGCGAACCUUUCAACAGAGCUCCAAAUUAUAUGAAGUUCGAUCUUUGUUACCAUAAAGUAACACUCUCUUCCCCUUUAACUUUCGACAAUUUUUAAUAAACUUUUCCUUAGCACGAUAACAUCUGAAUUUAAAAAAGACGAGUUCUGUUGCGAAAAAAAUUGAGACCGUUUCAUAGCAAUCUUCAUCAGUUUUUUCAUACAAUGCCAGAUAUUCUAAGCCAGUUAUACUUUCAGCAGCAAUUGCUACUAGUAUUGUGCUUCCUUAAAUCCUAAUGACAUUUUUGCGAAGGCUAGCGCAGAACGUAACAAGCUAUUCGAUCAUACUGAGGCUGUUUUAUUGUCAGUAGUAGCUUACCCCCUAUUUGUUUAAUAUAAUUUCUAGCAACAACACCAGGAGGAGAUACGACAACACUUUCUCCAGCUACACCACCUACAACAACAGGUAAGUACAGUACUUAAAUAUUGAAUGGUUAAAAAAUAAAACAAAUCUUCAGAAAAUCUUCCUGAUCGCACAUACCCUAGUCGUGAAGGACUGGUACAAGCUAGAUUAGCGCUAACCUCGGGUUGUAAUUUUACGCGCUGUUUUGGUUUGGGUACAUUUGCACUUAAUUUAAUCUGUUUAUAUAUAAUUAUUUCAAACCUUUGGAAAAUAGAACUUCUAUUGAUCCAGGCAUGAAUUGUGGAAAACUGUCUUCAUGUUUCUAAACAAGAUUGCUUUGAGAUUGGCGUUAACUUGGCAUUGAGGUUUCCAGCUUUUGAAAAAACGGCCCCUGUUUAAUUGUGUAUACGUAGUUUAAAUUCUGUUUGCUUAAUUUCUGUUUGUUUAAUAUAAUUUCUAGCAACAUCGACAAUGGGGGGAAAUACGACAACACCUUUUCCAACCACACCAAUAG